CGUAGGUGGGCAAGCGUUGUCCGGAUUUAUUGGGUUUAAAGGGUGGCGUAGGCGGCUUUGUAAGUCAGUGGUGAAAUACGGCAGCUCAACUGUCGAGGUGCCAUUGAUACUGCAGAGCUAGAGUACUGAUGAGGUAGGCGGAAUGGACGGUGUAGCGGUGAAAUGCUUAGAUAUCGUCCAGAACACCGAUAGCGAAGGCAGCUUACUAAAGAGUAACUGACGCUGAGGCACGAAAGUGUGGGGAGUCAAACAGGAUUAGAUACCCUGGUAGUCCACACUGUAAACGUUGAUCACUAGAUGUUGGCGAUACACUGCCAGCGUUCCAGCAAAAGCGAUAAGUGAUCCACCUGGGGAGUACGCCCGCAAGGGUG
rnacentral:rRNA from 1 species